GAAAUUCUACCGAGUUGGUUCCUCAGAAGCAGAUACUAACACAAUGGAAGACACCUUGAAGAUAGGAUGGUGACUUUUUCAAGUUUGAUCUGCCUGAGAGACCUUCAAGAUGGCAGAGGAGUAAGACAUGGAGAUCACCUUCCUCCCCACAAAUACAUCAGAAAUACAUCUAUAUGUGGAACAACUCCUACAGAACACCUACUGAACGCUGGCAGAAGACCUCAGACUUCCCAAAAGGCAAGAAACUCCCCACGUACCUGGGUACGGCAAAAGAAAAAAGAAAAAACAGAGACAAAAGAAUAGGGACAGGACC